UACAGAGGUCCCAAGCGUUGUUCGGAUUCACUGGGCGUAAAGGGUGCGUAGGUGGCUGGGUAAGUUCGGUGUGAAAGCUCGGAGCUCAACUCCGAAAAGGCAUUGAAUACUAUCCGGCUGGAGGUUCGGAGGGGGGACUGGAAUUCUCGGUGUAGCAGUGAAAUGCGUAGAUAUCGAGAGGAACACCAGUGGCGAAGGCGGGUCCCUGGACGACACCUGACACUGAGGCACGAAAGCUAGGGGAGCAAACAGG
rnacentral:rRNA from 1 species